rnacentral:rRNA from 1 species
ACGAAGGGGGCAAGCGUUGUUCGGAAUUACUGGGCGUAAAGGGCGCGUAGGCGGCUUACCAAGUCAGGCGUGAAAUUCCCGGGCUCAACCUGGGGGCUGCGCUUGAUACUGGUGAGCUUGAAUGCGGGAGAGGAUAGUGGAAUUCCCAGUGUAGAGGUGAAAUUCGUAGAUAUUGGGAAGAACACCGGUGGCGAAGGCGGCCUACUGGCACGAAACUGACGCUGAGGCUCGAAAGCGUGGGGAGCGAACGGGA